rnacentral:rRNA from 1 species
UACGUAGGGUCCAAGCGUUAUCCGGAAUCACUGGGCGUAAAGCGUGCGUAGGUGGAUUGUUAAGUGCGAUGCGAAAUCCUGUGGCUCAACCAUAUGGACUGUAUCGCAUACUGGCUAUCUAGAGGACAUGAGAGGCAAGUGGAAUUACGAGUGUAGCGGUAAAAUGCGUAGAUAUUCGUAGGAACACCAAUGGCGAAGGCAGCUUGCUGGCAUGUAUCUGACGCUAAGGCACGAAAGCGUGGGGAGCGAACAGG